rnacentral:lncRNA from 1 species
CGAGGAAGGUGAGAAACACACCUGGGCACACCUGGGCACACCUGGGCACGUGUGGGUUAACGUGGGUUAACGUAGGACAGGUGUGGGACAGGUCAGACACACCUGGGCAGGUGAGAAACACACCUGAGAUAGGUAUGGGGCAGGUAUGGGACAGCUGAGAUACGUGGGACAGGUGAGACAGGUGAGAAACACACCUGGGCACACCUGGGCACACCUGGGCAGGUGUGGGUUAACGUGGGUUAACGUAGGACAGGUGUGGGACAGGUCAGACACACCUGGGCAGGUGAGAGACACACCUGAGAUACACCUGGGCAGGUGUGGGUUAGUGUGGGUUAAUGUAGGACAGGUGUGGGACAGGUGAGACACACCUGGGAAGGUGAGAGACACACUUGAGACACACCUGAGGUACACCUGGGCAGGUGUGGGUUAACGUGGGACAGGUGUGGGAUAGGUGAGACACACCUGAGACACACCUGAGACACACCUGAGACAGGUGAGACACACCUGAGAUACACCUGAGAUAGGUAUGGGACAGGUAUGGGACAGCUGAGAUACCUGGGACAGGUAAGACAGGAGAGAAACACACCUGAGAUACACCUGGGCAGGUGUGGGUUAGUGUGGGUUAAUGUAGGACAGGUGUGGGACAGGUGUGGGACAGGUAAGACACACCUGGGAAGGUGAGAAACACACCUGAGACACACCUGGGCAGGUGUGGGUUAACGUGGGACAGGUGCGGGACAGGUGUGGGACAGGUGAGACACACCUGGAAAGGUGAGAAACACACCUGAGAUAGGUAUGGGGCAGGUAUGGGACAGGUGAGAUACCUGGGACAGGUGAGACAGGUGAGAAACACACCUGGGCACACCUGAGACACACCUGGGCAGGUGAGUGACACACCUGAGAUAGGUAAGGGACAGGUGAGAUACCUGGGACAGGUGUGGGACAGGUGAUCCUGCUCGAUGACAACUUCACCUCCAUGGUCACCAGAAGGUCCGGUUUGGGCCAUUUUGGGGUGAAUCCGUGCGUUUAUGGGGCCGCUGGUGACGGUUUUUGCCAUUUUUUGCUGUUUUUGAUGGUUUUUGAUGGUUUUUUGCCGUUUUUCGCCUCAGGGCGCCUGAUUUUCGACAAUCUGAAGAAAUCGAUCGCGUACACGCUGACCAGCAACAUCCCCGAGAUCACCCCGUUCCUNAUCACGGCCAAGGCCAUCGCCAAGGGCGUGGGGAUCAUCUCCGAGGGCAAUGAGACCGUGGAGGACAUCGCGGCGCGGCUCAACAUACCUGUCAGCCAGGUGAACCCCAGGUGAGUCACACCUGAACAUACCUGAACAUCCCUGUGAGCCAGGUGAACCCCAGGUGAGUCACACCUGAACACACCUGAACAUACCUGAACAUCCCUGUGAGCCAGGUGAACCCCAGGUGAGACACAGAUAGGGGAGACACAGAUAGGGGAGACACAGCCAGGUGUGCCCCAGGUGUGACAUCCUGAACAUCCCUGUGAGCCAGGUGAACCCCAGGUGUGACAUAGCCAGGUGUGACACAGGUGUGACAUAGCCAGGUGUGACAUUGUGGCACGGCUGAACAUCCCUGUGAGCCAGGUGAGAUACAGCCAGGUGAACCCCAGGUGAACCUCACACCUGAACACACCUGUGAGCCAGGUGUGACACAGGUGUGACAGAGACAGGUGUGACAGGUGUGACAUAGCCAGGCGUGACAUUGUGGCACGGCUGAACAUCCCUGUGAGCCAGGUGAGAUACAGGUGAACAUACCUGAACACACCUGUGAGCCAGGCGAACCCCAGGUGAGCCAGGUCACCCAUUUUUGGGUUCCUUUUACUGUUUUUGGUGUAAAUUGUGCUGGUUUUGGUGCUCCUGCGCCGUUUUCAGGUUCCUGCACCAUUUUUGGGAUAAAUCCCACUGAUUUUGGGCUGAGUCCUGUCGUUUUUGGGGUAAAUCCCUUUCUUUUUGGGUAAAUCCUCUUCUUUUUGGUUUACUGCACCAUUUUGGGGUAAAUCCCAUCAAUUUUGGGGUAAAUCCGUUUCUUUUUGGGUAAAUCCUGUUCUUUCAGGAUUCCUGCACCAUUUUCGGGGUG